rnacentral:lncRNA from 1 species
UCCCUCCAUCCAACCGUCGGCGCUCGCAGGGCGUUGAGAGUGCUUCACACAAACGGAGAGAAAUGGUUGAUAUUAGUAUAGUCAUGGUUAAUAUAAACCUUAAAUACCUUUUUAAAGAUUAGAAGCUGAGCUGGGAACGGGGCAAUCAGGCAGCCUCGAGGGGGGACUGCAGGGAGCAGGGGAGAGGCUUAGAGAGUUCUGAAUGCCACACGCGAGGCACUUUUCUCAGGGGGCUCUUAAGCCCUAACACCUUUAUAAUUUCCCCUUAAGAUGCUAAUGAUCUAUUAAUCACUGUUUCUGGCUGACUUCCCUUUACACCAGUGCCUUCAGAAGCUCCCCUACCGAGUGGGCCUGUCUUAGGGAGGAAUUACUUCCUACAGCUAAUCCAGAGUUCCCGCCCCCUGCAACAAAACCCACAGCAGCUUCUCCUCCGGUAAAGCCGGGAUCUGAGCAGACAGUCACUCCUGUGGGCAGCGCUGGCUGGAAAGGACACUGGAGCAGGCCGCGCCUGGGCCUUGGAGACACGCACAGGACCCUGGAGGAGGCCACACCUGGGCCUCGGGAACGCGCACAGGACCCCGGAGGAGGCCACACCUGGGCCUCGGGAACAGGCACCAGCAGAGGCAGGACUGGAAAGGACAGGAGAGGCUGGGCCCACAUUUAAUCUCUGUUCCCUCUCCCUCCACAGUGGUGCCUUUAUUUCUAGAAGCAACGAAGGAAACACAGUAGACUCAGAGCCAGAAGAGGAAGAGGAGGCCAGCUCCCACUGCUGCAGCACUCAGCUGGGGUCAGCGGGGCUGUGGCGUUGCACCACUCCAUGAAGGGCCUGGUGUCCCUUGACUUGGACACCCUCGACCCUGCCAGGCUCGGCCCCACAGCCUUGCUCAAUCCCCUCAGCACCCUCGUCUCCAGCAGACGGGUAUCCUGGACAUGUCUCACCUGAUUUGACACAAGACCACCAAGACAAGGGGCAGGUGGGUGCAGUGGCUCACAUCUAUAAUCCCAGCACUUUGGGAGGCUGAAGCAGGAAGAUUGCUUGAGCCCAGGGGUUGGAGAUCACCCUGGGCAACAUGGUAAAACCCGUCUCUACAAAAAAUACAAAAAUUAGCCAGGUGUGGUGGUGCAUGCCUGUGGUCUCAGCUACUCAGGAGGCUGAGGUGGGAGGACCGCUGGAGCCAGGGAAGUCGAGGCUGCAGUGAGCUGUGUUUGCUCCACUGCACUCCAGCCAGGGAGAUAAAGCAAGACCCUGUUUCAAAAAAAAAAAAAAAAAAGUAAAGAAGGCCAGGCACAGUGGCUCACACCGGUAAUCCCAACACUUUGGGCGGCUGAGACAGGCAGACCCCUUGAGUUCAGGAGUUAGAGACAAGCCUGGCCAACAUGGUGAAACCCCAUCUCUACUAAAAAUACAAAAAUUAGCCAGGCGUGUUGGCUCAUGCCUGUAGUUCCAGCUACUCGAGAGGCUUAGACAGAAGAAUCGCUUGAACCCGGAAGGCAGAGGUUGUAGUGUGCAGAGACUGAGCCAUUGCACUCCAGGCUGGGCAACAGAGUGAGACUGUCUCAAAAAAAAAAAAAAAAAAAUAGAAAAGGGGCAGCUUCCUCUGAAGCCAGCUCUGCAGACUGGCAGCUGCCUGACACCUCAGCCGGGCCAUUUCCUGAACGGCUAGGCAGGGGCACGUUGGGCUUUAACUGCCCUCAGCCCCACCCCAACCAGGGCUCGCUGCACCAGAAGCUUCCUAGAAAACCACAUCUUUUCUGCUAAGAAUCAGAAAAGUCGUGAUAUUCUCAGACAUCAGCCAACUACAGACUGGCCUGCAGAAGGAAGGAAAGUAGAAGGAGGAAGUCAAGUGAUGCUGGGGCAAGGCAGCGUGGCCGGGCACCGCGGUCGGAACUCUCGUGCUGGUUUGCAGCUCAGAAGCGGUCCGCAGCCCCUGCCGUCCAGCCCUAACCCUGACCUCUUUAGGCCUCAGUUUCCCCACCUAGACAAGGAUGAUGGUCCAUGAGUCUGCUAUUUUUCAUUGAGCAACCUUGUACUCAGUGCCUGUUCGGAAUGAGAAUAGCAAUGUCUACAGUUCCAAUGCUUUCGCCACACCUUACUCAUGUCUUGUAUUUAAAUCCGGUCUGAUGAUUUACAUAAUGCUUCACCCACGAGAAUUCCUUCAGCAGGGAAUGAGGGUGUCAUGGAGACGCCGCCUCGGGCCUCGGUAACCACUAGGGAAGAAACGCCAGGGACACCUGGUCCUGACUUGGGAUCUGGUGCUCCAGGCUCUAGCUCUGUCCAUAGCCCAAGGGUGCUGAGCCCCAAGUGGUCACACCUGCAAUGUCACUGAGCUUGGGUAGUGGUCCAUCCAGGGCCAGCCAGCCCAACGUAGCAGGGGCCCGCCUUCCCCAGGGACACCGUGUGGCCCAGGAGCCACAGCAGAGGAAGCUGAGCAGGGCGGCAGAGGAAGCUGAGCAGGGUGGCAGCUCCCUGGGAGGCCACACCUGUACCCCAGGGGUUCUUGGACAAUUGGGGGCAGGGCUCAAGAGGGAGAUCAGAUAUCCCCCUAACAAAGAGAGUGGGGGCUGGAGCGGUGAAUUUGGACACUGAAAGAGGAGUGACUGUAUUUGUACCCUGAGUGUGUGCGCCAGUCCUUGAGGGCAUUACAUUUUACAUUACGUUUGUAAUCAGAAAAGUAGACUUUCAAAAGAAGACAUCAUCUAAGUUACUUGUUAGGAGUGGCAGAUUCAUCUCCCCGGAGCUGGUGACAGUAGGGAGGCAUUUGAAAAGGUGCCUGGACAGCACAGGCCUUGAGGGAGGACAGGUCCUCCAUGCCCAGAAUGCAACUGGCUGGCUAAGGUGCCUUCGAGGUUCCCCAGGCUGCCUGUGUAGAGAAAGCAGCAGCUGGCCCAGCAGCCCAGCUGCAAAGGGCCCUCACCAUGCACCAGUUAGUUACUCAUUCAUUCAUUUAGAUGAGGUCUCGCUCUGUCAUCCAGGCUCAAUCAUAGCUGGGUGGGGCAAUCAUAGCUCACUGCAGCCUCAACUUCCUGGCCUCAAUUGAUCCUCCCAUCUCAGCCUCCUGCCUCUGUGCACCUGUCCCGAGGCCCCAACCUGCAGUCCUGAGACUACAGAUGCAUCUGGCCCCCGGACCUGCACUGUGUGGAUGUGGCUUCUGUCAGUUCACUGCCUCAGGAGCAAGAGUAGGAAUGGGAGGUCCUCCCAAGAUGGAAGUUCACUGUUCUGUGAAACAUGAACCCCCCGGACCUCCGUCGCCAGAGUGGUCCAGCAGGGUGCACAGGGGCUCCGGCCCCAAGCCGGCCUGCUUCUGAUGGAGGGGUUUACACCGGAGCGAGGAGCUGCCCACCCGAGUCUCAGGCUCCUCAUUCAUCAACUGUGGAUGUUGUUAGUUUAAGAAUAUAAAGUGCUGCCGGGCACGGUGGCACCUACAGUCCCAGCUACUUGCGACGCUGGGGCAGGAAGAUCACUGGAGCCCAGGUGUUCAAGUCCAGCCUAUGAGACAGAGUGAGACCCCAUCUGAUUGACUGAUUGAUUGGUUAAUUGAUUAAUUGAUUGGUUGAGACAGGAUCUCACUCUGUUACCCAGCCUGAAGUGCAGUGGUGCGAUCUCAGCUCACUGCACCCUUGGCCUCCUGGAUUCAAACAAUUCUCUCACCCUGCCUCCUGAGUAGCUGGGACUACAGGUGCCUGCCACCACACCAAGCUAAUUUUUUUAUUUUUUGUAGAGACAGGGUUUCCCUAUGUUGCCAUGGCUGGUCUCGGACUGCUGGGCUUAAGUGAUCCUCCCAUCUCAGCCUCCCAAAGUUCUGGGAUUACAGGCAUGAGCCACCGUAGUGAGGGUAGCAGUGGUGGUAGUAACAGUAGGUAGUGAUGGUAGUGAUGUUAGUGAUGGUAGGUAGUAAUGAUAGUGAUGGUAGGUAGUGAUGGUAGGUAAUGAUGGUAGUGAUAGUAGGUAGUGAUGGUAGUGAUGGUAGGUAGGGAUGGUAGUGAUAGUAGGUAGGGAUGGUAGUGAUAGUAGUGAUGGUAGGUAAUGAUGAUGGUAGUGAUGGUAGGUUGGGAUGGUAGUGAUGGUAGGGAUGGUAGUGAUGGUAGUGAUGGUAGGUAGUGAUGGUAGUGAUGGUAGGUAGGGAUGGUAGUGAUGGUAGGUAGUGAUGAUGGUAGCGAUGGUAGGGAUGGUAGUGAUAGUAGUGAGGGUAGGUAGUGAUGAUGGUAGUGAUGGUAGGUAGGGAUGAUGGUAGCGAUGGUAGGUAGUGAUGGUUGUGAUAGUAGUGAUGGUAGGUAGUGAUGGGUAGUGAUGGUAGGUAGUGAUAGUAAGUAGCGGUGGUAGCAUGGGGAUGCUGCCGUGAAGCAGAGGAGGCUUCACAAUUCUGAUUGUGAAGGCUUCAGAACUCUGAUCUUCUCAAUUCAGGUGGAAACGUGUCUUUAGGAUAGAAAACAAGUAAACUGCAGGAUUCCCUUCAAGGUCUAGUUCUUCCCUGUCCCUACUUUGGGACACUGCUGAACAGGCUCCAUCUGAGUUCAAGAAUCUGGGUGUAUCUGUGCAGGCCAACAAGCCAAUACAGCAGGCAUUUGAAAGACACACAUACACGCAGGCCAUGCUUUUAGUCAUGCAAACACACAGUGUCUAUAUAUCUAUGUGCACAGAUUUCUGGGCAUGAAUAUAUGUGUUCCAAGCCCCAGUGUACCUACAAGUUUUGAUAUAAACCUACACACAGACGUGCAGCAUAUGUACACAGAUAAUACUUAAGUGUCCACAUGUCUAGAACCUGGAACAAAGCUGCAUAUAAAAGCAGAUGGAACACAGCAGCAGGGCUAUGUCUCACGUUGUCGUUUCCUGAAGCUGAUGUACAUGAGACACUUCAUUCUAGUUCUGUGGUUUCUGCAAGGAACUGGUGGGCCAACCAUUCCUAAGGAAUAUGGUGUUGACAAGCUGAAGACAGGCUGCACCAUCACGCGGCUACAGCUGUUGUUCUGAAUUUCAAAUCUGGUGGCUUCAUUGUUGUUUUCCCAAAAGUUUCAUGAAUUAUGUCACCAAAAAACUCACUGAUUUAUGGAGUAAAGUUGAAGCAAUAUCUAGUUGGUGUGUUUUCAAAGAGAAUAAAUGGAUUUCUGCUUGCACUUCUAUUCCCAGAGCUGAGUAUUUGAGUGUUUGUUCUAGGAUCUGGUAUCACACAGCCUUAUCUCUAUCCCCACUGGGGUGAGGCCCCCCAAGGAAGUUUAGGCUGGAACUUGAGACCACUUAUCACCAAAUUAAUAAAAUAGAUUCAUUUGGAAUCAGCUGACUCAAAGCAGGAAGACUUGGACCCAAUUCAAACAUCUAGACCAAAACCUACACUCUGUUUGGUUAAGAUCGGAUAGAAAUUCUUCCUCUUCACAUCUCACAUCCAUGGACAUGUCAUGGCAGAAGGCUCCAUCGUCCUCAGAGCCCAGCCAGGGAAGGUGAGCAGGAGGCAGCACAUGGCUGCCCACCUCUGUAGAAUUCCAAGGAACAGAAGCUUUUUAAAAAUUCAGAUUCCAAGGCCUCAGCCUGGGCCUCCUGACUCCUGGCCAGGGUUUGGAGAUGUAGAAGGAGGUAGAAGGAGGAGAUAGAAGGAGAUGGAGAAGAAGGCAUGAGUCAGUUUCCUCCCACACUCCAGGCCUUUCCCAGGGGUUGGGGAAGCCCUUGGGAAGCUCUCCUCUUUUGCUGCAGAGAUAGAGAAAGAGCGUGGCUCUGAAGUUGUGGCAGUGUCCCUCAGAGACUGGUCACUCACUACUACAGACCACAGGCAGGCCAGUGCUCCCUCUGGGCCUCAGUGUACUCUUCUGUAAAAUGGGAAGAUCAUACUGGGUGACCUCAUCCCUAACACCUCGUCUCUAGCUCUCAACUUCUACCACUCCGCGAAGUCGUGUGGGCUGGAAGUCAGAGCGGCUUCCUCAAAGAGGCGGAAGAGGACCCAUCACAUGAAGGGGCUGGUUUGGCGAGGCAGAGGUGGGAAGGAACGGGGGUAAAAACCCUCCCACCUGGGUGAGCGUGUCCAUCGGAGCAGUGGUUCUCAAAUGAGAAGCCCUUCCCCAUGAGCGAAUCACAAAGUUAUUUUAGGUAGGUCAUACGAAAUAGAAAGAGAUACGAAACGUAGAACAGACAAUAACUCAGUGCCUGGCAAACAGUGAGCACUAUGCAAACACGAGUUAUUAUUUCUAUCGUGAGUCAUGGUCCAAAAGUUUGAAAUACACUAACUUUCUGUGGCUCACUGUCUCUAUUUCGUCACCAGCAUGUGACCUCCAUGAGUGAGGGAUUUUUGACAGUUCUGUUCACUCUUAAAGCCCCGUGUCUAAAACAGUGCCCGGCACAAAGUAAAGGCUCAGUAAGUAUUUACUGGAUGAAUAAAUCGGUAUCAUUCCAUGCAAUUGUUGUCACAUACAUAUAUUCCCUCUUGGGCUAGACCGCCUGGGUCUGAGUCUGGCAGAUGAAUUCUGUGCUCCCCAGCCCGGCAAACCUCCCUGGGACACGGGGACGUCACAGCUCCUCUUCUCGGUGCUGUUGAAAAGAGUGUAUGCGGAGCUCCAGGGAUGGCGGCAGGCAGCCUCCGCCCCGCACAAGGGUGCUGGGAGACAUCUGUCCCUCCCCACCUGCCCCUGUUCCCAGCUGCCCCCCACAUCUCAACCCCACAGUUCCCUUUCCUGGCAGGAUCACUGCUCGGCAUCCCUCUCCUGGCAGCGACAAAAAUGGCCCUCUUCACCCCGACAGCCUCUUCUCCUCGUCUGUGGCCUGCUUGAGCCAGGAUGGGACUCAUUUCCUUCUCAGGUGAAGACGUUGUUAGUGGAGAAAAUGAAUCUUGGGCUAAUGAGCUGAUCAGAACCUUGAGCUGCAAGAGGGCUCCGGCUCUCUUCAACUCCUGGCCCAGUGGUCCUCAGAGCGUGGUUCCCGGACCAGCAGCGUCCUUGUCAACCUAGGAACUUGCUAGAAAAGCACAUUCAUGAACCCGCCUCAGACCUACUGAACGGAAAACUCGGCGGUGGGGCCCAGCCUCCAGGUGACCCCAGAGCUUGCUCAAGUUUGAGAACCACCAGCCUAACUAUUGUUGAGGAGGGAGGAAGCGGUGGUGGCCCCACUUGGAAGUCUGGGCCCUGGCAGCAUCAGGACUGACUCGUGGGGGAGGCGCUGGGAAGGGAAAGGCGGUGGCUGCCGUUUUCAGAUGCCUGCCUCCCUUCCCAACCUCGUCAUCCUCACAAGGGGAGGUGGCUGCCAAGUCACCUAAAUGCUGAGGGCGGCAGGUAGUGGGAGCCGCAUUUCCCAAAACACUGCGGGGGCGGGAAAGGCCCCACCUAGGAGAUCAGAGCUCUUCCCAAACACCAACGGCAACCCCAGCUCAUCGGAGCCACCAGGAAUAAUUCUUGCCAUUAGCCCCAGAGUCUGCCGCUCCCUCAGGGUCCCUCUCCCGGCAUCUGGGGGCUGGAUUUUCACACACACAGUGUGUAUGGUCCCGGAACACAGACGGGUGCUGUCCUCAGAUCGGGGGCUAGCAGGGUCUGGAGGAGCCCUCCUCAACAGAUGAGUCCCUGUGACAUGACUUUCCAGAGCCAGACCUCCCGGCCUGAUCAGUGCUCGCCCCUACUUGCGGUGUGUGAGCUGACACGAUUUACCCUGAUGGGCAGCUGUUUAUUUUUACAAUUUAUGGUGAACCAUGUUAGAAGUUUUCCAUUUCUUCUAGUCUUAGAAAGUUUCUUUUAAAAAUAAAUGUAAGGCCGGGCGCGGUGGUUCACAGUUGUAAUCCCAGCACUUU